ACAUGCAGUCGAGCGGACAGAUGGGAGCUUGCUCCCUGAUGUUAGCGGCGGACGGGUGAGUAACACGUGGGUAACCUGCCUGUAAGACUGGGAUAACUCCGGGAAACCGGGGCUAAUACCGGAUGCUUGAUUGAACCGCAUGGUUCAAUUAUAAAAGGUGGCUUUUAGCUACCACUUACAGAUGGACCCGCGGCGCAUUAGCUAGUUGGUGAGGUAACGGCUCACCAAGGCAACGAUGCGUAGCCGACCUGAGAGGGUGAUCGGCCACACUGGGACUGAGACACGGCCCAGACUCCUACGGGAGGCAGCAGUAGGGAAUCUUCCGCAAUGGACGAAAGUCUGACGGAGCAACGCCGCGUGAGUGAUGAAGGUUUUCGGAUCGUAAAACUCUGUUGUUAGGGAAGAACAAGUACCGUUCGAAUAGGGCGGUACCUUGACGGUACCUAACCAGAAAGCCACGGCUAACUACGUGCCAGCAGCCGCGGUAAUACGUAGGUGGCAAGCGUUGUCCGGAAUUAUUGGGCGUAAAGCGCGCGCAGGCGGUUUCUUAAGUCUGAUGUGAAAGCCCCCGGCUCAACCGGGGAGGGUCAUUGGAAACUGGGGAACUUGAGUGCAGAAGAGGAGAGUGGAAUUCCACGUGUAGCGGUGAAAUGCGUAGAGAUGUGGAGGAACACCAGUGGCGAAGGCGACUCUCUGGUCUGUAACUGACG
rnacentral:rRNA from 1 species